rnacentral:rRNA from 1 species
UGGCGAACGGGUGAGUAACACGUGAGCAACCUGCCCCCUACUUCGGGAUAAGCCUUGGAAACGAGGUCUAAUACCGGAUACGAGCACUUACCGCAUGGUGGGUGUUGGAAAGUUUUUCGGUAGGGGAUGGGCUCGCGGCCUAUCAGCUUGUUGGUGGGGUAAUGGCCUACCAAGGCGUCGACGGGUAGCCGGCCUGAGAGGGCGACCGGCCACACUGGGACUGAGACACGGCCCAGACUCCUACGGGAGGCAGCAGUGGGGAAUAUUGCACAAUGGGCGAAAGCCUGAUGCAGCGACGCCACGUGAGGGAUGACGGCCUUCGGGUUGUAAACCUCUUUCAGCAGGGAAGAAGCGAAAGUGACGGUACCUGCAGAAGAAGCGCCGGCUAACUACGUGCCAGCAGCCGCGGUAAUACGUAGGGCGCAAGCGUUGUCCGGAAUUAUUGGGCGUAAAGAGCUCGUAGGCGGUCUGUCGCGUCUGGUGUGAAAUCCCAUGGCUCAACUGUGGGCUUGCAUCGGGUACGGGCAGACUAGAGUGCUGUAGGGGAGACUGGAAUUCCUGGUGUAGCGGUGGAAUGCGCAGAUAUCAGGAGGAACACCGAUGGCGAAGGCAGGUCUCU